rnacentral:lncRNA from 1 species
UUUUUUUUUUCUAAAAAUGUGAGGGAUGAAUUUGGCAAAUUUGCCAAACAAUAACAUCUAAUUUCUUAGUUUAAUUAUAUGUAUUUUUAUACUAUAUAAGAAUGAGUUGUGGUAAAAAAGGAGAUUUGAAUUUCAAUCGUAUGGAUAGGGGCAUUUUUGAAAUAUGGAAUGAUGUGGAGUUUAUUUUUAACUUUGGGUACCAGUGAUGGUGGCAUGUUUUUUAGUAUGUUUAUGAAAAUCUUCUCAUAUUUGUACAUUUAAAACAUUUAUUUAUGAAGACAUUUGGGUAGUUUUGGAAUGUGAAAUUAUUUUAUAAUCAUUUUUGCAUCAGGUACAAGGCAUACAAGCUUAUGUAUUGGUGUAAUUACUUAAAUAGUUUUACAGACACAGUUAACGUAAUCUUACUGCUUGAGGAUAUUCAAUUGCCUAAAACAUAUUCAAUUGUCUUUGCCAUUUACAUCUCAAUUAAAUUGAAGAAAACGUGGGUAUAUUAAUGAAUUAAUGCCUCAAUAUCAGUUAUGGUUGUUCGAAUGUCUUCUCUUCCACAUUCUUCAAUUUUUUUGUCAUUUCGACUUCCGAGAUUGAGCUAUUUUUGCUACCUUUAUACUCUGCAUUUCAAAAUGGUUUUCAAACAAAAUUAUUCUUUGUGGUUUAGCUUGAGGUGACUUUUAUUCCUUAAUUUUAUUAUUUAUGUAGGUGGUUUUGGUAGUGUGUAGCGUCAGAUGAUUGCUUCUAUCGCAAAAUUUGAAAUUUUGGUUGCGUAAUUUAAUUGAAAUAUUAUGAAUUUUUCACAAAUUUGGUUGGUCUAUAUAAUUUGAAUGGUGUGGUAAUGAUGUAAUAAAUUUGAAGCAACCGCAAGAAAAAGUUUUUCAGAGGGGUAUCUAGAAUAAGAUAAGCCAAAAAAGCAUCUUAUUGGUUCAAUUAUGAUAUGUUUUUUGCUGCAUGUAGUAAAUGAUUCAUAUAUGGAAUUCAUUUUGAUAGUAAUUUGAUAGUGAAUUAUUGUGAAUUGGUAGGUUACAUGGUAUACUACUAAUUUGAGUUUGAAUUAUUUAGCCACUGAUGAACUAAUAGAAUAAACAUCUUCUAAAACAUUUAUAUUGGCAGGGUUUUACAUAUACCUUCUAAUUAAGCAAAGGUAAUAGAAAUAGUUCGAUAUCCUUAAGCAGUGAUGAAUUUGUAGAAAUUCCUUCGAACAAACAACUUCAAUGAGUGCUUUCUUAUACAAAUAAACAAAACUAAAAUUGCUACAAAAACUAAAAAGAUGAACCAAAAAAAUGCGAAACAAAACCUCAGACUAUACAAGAAUGAAUGUGGCUUUGAAUUUUAAUCUCAAGAGCAAACAUAUAACUAAUGAAAUUACUUGUAAUCCAUGAAAUAUAAAUGAAUAAUAAUAUGAAGAAAAGGAAACUUAAAUGAUUUUUUCAUAAAUGCUAUAAUCCUUAUUGAUCAACAGAUUAACAUUUUAACCCCAAGAACAGACAUAUAGCUAAUGAAAUUACCUAUAGUAUGUGACAUGCAAAUUGAAUAAUAAUGUAAAUAAAGGGAGACUUAAGAAGCCAUUACAGACAAUCUAUUAUUGAAACAUAUGCUAUGAAAUAGUAUCGUUUAGUAUUAUGUCACACUAUUAUUUUCAUUUACUUACUCUCCUACCAACUUAAAUACUUUCAAAAUUCCACAAAAUAACAACACAACCAUCAACAAACAACUACCUUAAAAUCUUUUUUAAUCACAAGUACCUUAAAAUCUUUUUUAAUCACAAGCACCAAACACUCGCACACUCCUUCCCUAGUGUUACGAAACCAGAACCAGUUUUUUGUUACCAAAAGAUCAACCGAUCUUUCAUAUUCCAAAUGAUCUGAUCAGCCCUCCUCCUACGGCACAGGGAAUAUCCGGUCUUGAUUUACUUCCAGCAGAAACUCGAAAACGUGAUCAUAAAUGAAAUCAUCUUUUUGUUUUUUUGCUGCUUGAAUGAUCCCCUCUUAUUAUUUGGAUGCCCCAACCUCCUACUCCAAUUAAUACUGCUGCUGCUAAAAAAGCUGCGAGAGAUUAAGGAAUUUUGACACAGCUUUUGCUAAAAUACCAAGGACUGAAGAAAUGGACCUAUGAAAUACGAAGGUGCUCUUGCAUUUACCACUGCCGUUGCUUUUUAUCUUUCAUUGUACCUUGAUUACGCUUCAACCCUUAUUUUAUUCUACCCCUUCAAGAUUAGGCAUUUAAACAUUCCAAAUUCUAUUCUCAUUUAAUUUUUUUCAAGCCUUUUUGUUUAAAUCCAGCGAGGCACUGAUCAUGCUCAAUUAUAGUCUCAUCUAGUUGUCAAGCCCUUUAACUUUCAUCUAUACUUUAAUAAGGAUUAGAAAGUGUAAACACUAUCACUAUUAGAUGUAUCAUAAUUAAUCUAAAUUUGAAUCUACAAUUCAAAUUUUGCAUUGUGUAUCAUUCAUCCAUCCAAUAGCGAAAGCGUAAACACUAUCAGAAGGUUAAUUCAGACAAUUUCAAUACGGAAGAAAGAAUCUCAAUCGCGGAAUUUUCCACAAAACCAAACGCAAGUCAAUAUUUUUAGGUAUGUUUGUUUUGUAUGACAUAUGUAAUAGCAUGCGGAGUUACUUCUCUUUUGCUCUUCCGAAAAAACGAGAGUAAAUUUCAUUCAAAAUUCCCUAAGAUAUCUUUGAGACGUGGUUAAGUGAAAGGUUCUUCCGCAGUUCCAUUGCAUCCCCGGGGAUAAGUAAAAACAAAUCAGAGGCAGUAUAAUAAGUAGAUGGUAUCAUGAGAUAGAGCCGUCUGAGCUAGUAAUCAACAUACUCAGACAACAAUCCUUCGUGACAAAUUGGAGCUGUCGAAGUCUAAUAACAGGUGCCGGCGCAAUAUAUAUGACUUUUGUCUGUUUCAUUUCUUCUUCGAACCAUCACUCAUUUUGUUUAAGCAUUGCGCCGUACGUUCCUUGCAAAUUGUUUAAUGUGACACUGGAAAAAAGGAAUAAACUUUAAUUUCUUAUACAAAUUUAUAUUGAAUCAAAUCGUAGAAGAUCUUUUAUUUUAUGAGGAUGGACUUUAGGUCGUGAAAUUCUUUAUUCCAACUAAACUGAAUGCGAUUGCAGAGAAGAAGAAGAUGAUAAUGACGCCUUGUUCGACUUACUUGAUGGCCUCCAUUGAUUUGCACAUCUUAUCUUUCUCAGUACCAAAAUGAUUUGAGCAAGCAAGAAAGGGGAAGGAAUCUCACGAACUCUCACGAUCAUUUUUGUCAUUUCUUACAGGGAAAUGGGGUGGAAUUUUUAAAUUGAAAGGAAGAUCCGCAAUCUUUGGUGGGACAGGGUUUGCUUUGCUUAAACCUCGAUUAAUUAGUUACUUUGAGUUAAUUAAUCUCAAGUAAAAGACCACGUGAUCAUAUUUGUUUUUCUUAAGAUGAAAGUUAGCACAGAACCAGGCUUAAUCACGUGUUAUGCCUGGCGGCAACAGGAAGUAGUCAAAAGUCGCCCACGUUUAUGGACUCGUUUUAAUUUCCAUUGGGGCAAAAUUCAGAGGGACCGCACUCUUGCGGCCGUCUCUUCUCCAUCUUUGAAAGCUAAAGAUGACAACUUUUUUAAGUCUUGCUCGCCAGAUGUCCUCUUUUAUCUGGAUCUUGUUGCCCAAUUUCCAGGCAGCUGAGCUAAACUGGUUACUUUAAACAUUCAAUGGCAAUCUGUGGCUGACUUGUUGCAACCCUAAUUAAUUUAUCACCCUUUCUAUAUGAUGGAUAUUUCAAAAAGAAGAUCAGAAAAUUUGCAAAAGUUGAAAACCUGUCAAUUUUGUCUCAUUCCCAAUGUCAUGGAAAACAAAGGUCAAAUAUUUCAGCUAACGGCUCAAUGAGGGAAAACUCGAAAGUAAAAACUUUGAUCAUUUAUUGUAGUGCAUAAUUAGAGUGGAUGCAUACAUACAAGUCCAAACGAGAAUAGAUGGGAAAGAGACCUCAAGAACCAUUUCCAAUGGAGGCCUCUAAAACACUUGACCAAAUACCUUAAAUUGAUACGGAAGCCUGACUAUCCAUCCACCCCAAAAAAGUACUAAAACCCUUUACCCCUUACAAGCACUCGGUUUGGUUGAAUUUUCAAACCACCCCAAGUUGAAAAAAAAAAAAAAGGAAAGGCCAAAUUGAGCCAUGUGGUCAUCUUUACAACAGGAGGAUGAGUAGCAUGGUCCACACAAGUGAGCCAUGAAAAAAUAUGGUACGUGGAAAAAACCCUCCUUCAAAAAUGAACCUCACAGCAAACAAGCUAGCUUCCAGGUUGAUAUAUGGUCAAAUUUGAAAGGGUGAAGAACUUCCAGGCUUCUGCAAAAACAAAGACGUAAAACUAGACUUCGUAACUAAGCAGAUUAUUAAUUCCAAGUUAUAUUGGUACUUGUGUCCAACAGGACCCCGUCUUUCACAUGAACUUUUUGAGGGCUGAGCGUAAAUGUUUCACGAGAUCCUUAAUUGGCAUGGCGAAUUCUUCCUCCAUCUGCAACAAAUGAAGAUAUCUAUUCAAUGGAUUUGACUAAUUGAACUGACCAAUCUUCCAAUCAUCGCGCAAAAGAAUUCCUGUAUGCUUCUAACUCAUGCGCAUAUUUACGAGUCGGUGACAUAGCAAUGGCGUACCUUAGCUGUAACGGUAAUGUCAAGAGUUGAGCCUCCAAAUGUCAUGGCACUGUUGUUGAUGACCGAUAGAGGCAGUUUCUCAAUUUCAGCUAUGGUUUUCUCCUGAAUUCCUUUUCUUUUCUCACAGUGAACCCUAAUUAGGACUUCUUUGUUGCAAAAUUUUGCUUCUACUUCCGGUAGGGGCUCAUCACAAAAGUUUUCAUCUGAGGAAGAAUCCUCAUGACCAUCAUCACAAAGUGUGUACUUACUAACAUACACCACUCUUUCCAUUGAAUUCUCUCUUGCUUCCUCCUCAAGGGUUUUUACUUUCUCUUGGAGCUGUUUCAAGUACUUUAUAGCAUCUCCCAGAACAGAAGCCUUGUCCAUCUGAUGAUAGCAUACGCAUAAAACAAUUGUAUCACUAGGUAAUGCAGUCAAGAAAAUCAGGUACAUGAUAAAGUUCACAAUCUUAGUUAAGGAAGGGUUGUUGGCAUGAAUGAUAUAUGAAACCAAAUAAUAGUACCUUUUUAAGUCCAGGCACUAGAGCAGAUAAAGCUAUGAAUCUUUGGCUGAGCUUUUCACGGCGCUUCCUCUCAGCCAUGAUGUGAUCUUGAGCUUGAGUUAGCCUAGCAUUUGUGCUAACCCUUUUAGCUCCUUGAGAAGCCUUGAACACGUAAUUUUGGUUUUGAUCGUAUGAACCAUGGGAAACUAUCAUGUCAGGGGAAAAGCUCAUAGUAACAGAAGACAUGGUUUCCUCCUUAGGUUUCACCGUGGCAACUUGAUCACUGUAAAUUGAAGAAUUGACCACAUGAAAGUUGGCAUUUGAUAAAUGAUCACUGUUGGAGGAGCUCCAGCUGCUAGUCUUUUGCUGCUUCAUCGGCCUAUUAGCAUCAUUUGGAGACAUUUCCAUGGAGUGUUUCUGGCUGAAGAUGGGUUGAGAAGAAUGCAUGUGUAGAUUAUCAUGGUAUGGGGCAGCCAUGGACGAUAUUGUGCUAAGCUCGUCCAGAGAACUCAUGGACCAGUGAUUGCUAAAACCAUGGUCCAUUCCCUAUAAAACAAAACAACAUCAAAAUCUUGAAAUCCUCCUGAAAUUAAUAGGAUACAGAAAAGAUAAUUAAUCCUAUUGAUCAUUAUGCAAAAUUGUCUUACCAAUUCUGCUAAACUUCUGAAGUUAUAGAUUUCCAUAACCUAGCUGGAGAUUCCCUGAAAGAUAUCAAAGAAUAGUCAAAGAUUAACAAAUCAUCCAACUAACCAAUGAAAGAUGAUUUAUUGAGAGGUAUGGUAAGAGGGAUCGGAGGGGAGUUCUUUCAUACCCUUGAAUAGAACAGACAGCGGAGUGUCUUUUCCAAAUCCCAAGCUCCAGUUUAGGAUAGUUUGCUUCCGAUUUUAUAGGUCUAGGAAGGAACACAAUUGGCAUGUUCUGUUUCCUCACGGGUUAACUAAUCACUAAUCAGUGCUGUGAUGUGAACUGGCCAUGGACCUUUGAACAAUUGACAAGUAAACAACGAUGCAAUAAUGUAAAAUAGUAGUACUUAACAACACAUUUACAAAGAAUAAACCUCGGUAGGUAGUAGCUUUUUAAGUUGGUAAAAAUAGUAGGACUAUUACUAGAUUUAAUUAUUAUUGUUGUUUUGGUUAUGGGAUAUUUGGUCUUCUUUUCUUCCCCAGCUAUCCGUUGAAAUUGUUGAGGUUGGCAGUGGAAAAGCUCUGCCAAGGCCGGGGCCUAGCUGUCCUUUUGGCGCCUGCAGCAACUGCCUACCCAUAAAUAAUGUCUUCCCCCAGUGUGUCACAAUCGCAUAAUCAUCCUCCACAUUUCGCGGAAAGACGAUAACCAUCUCUUGCCAUAUCACUGCUCUAGCUCUUCGUUCCAUCCAACGAAGAAUGGAGUACCGACGAGCAGCCAACAAUAUAUAUUCUAGUAAAUGCUGCAAUUAAUAAUUGGUCGGUUUAGUCCUUACUUUUCAAUUUCAUAUCAGAAAUUGUUUUCUGCUCGAUCGGCUGUUUAAGUAGGAUGGAUAGAUUUGUCUCGGCAUCAUCAUGCUACGUACAAAAUUAAUCUUUGAUCAUUGGAACCAUCAAUUACUAUAAACUACUAAGUCGAGCAUUUCAAACCACCAAGCAACUAGUAACAAACGUAAAACUGGAGAAGAUGAGAUCAUUGAUGAUUUGCAAGCUGCAUGCAAAAGCAGCUAUUUCUCUUUUCGGUAACAAGCAAAAUUAAGAAGCACCGCACGUCGAAAUUAUCACGAUCGCUUCUAGGAAUAGCAGGGGAAGAAAAAAAGAGGGGAAAAUAAACUGGGGCCAAGCCAAAACUGGUAAAUUACUGAAGUCUCAUUCCCAAAACAAUUUAGUAUUACAAAGGAAAAAUUGGACCCAUCAGCUGAAUGUACUGCGCAUAGUUUGGUCGGCAGAUGAUAUCUCCAUAUCAAUUAAUUCAACGUGCACGUCCCCAUCCUCCAUACGAUUUUGUAGGAUUUGUACUAAUAAGUGUGCUGGGAAUAAAUAUAUGAAGCAUGCAUGAUAUUUAAUAUGUGGAGGGGCAGCGACUAUAAGAGUAUUGAGACUUAAAUUAUGAGAGCUUGCAAAAUUUUCUACUCAUUUAGAAGCCGCAAUGAUUAAAUAAUUAGGGUGUUUUAGGACAAUACGUGUGUGUGUGUGUGUGCAUGUAUCUAUGGUUACGGGCUUGUGGUUGUGGGACUUUAACAGGGUAUUCUUUAUUAUUAAGUGAAGUAUGACGUUUGAUAUUAUCAUUACCAGAAAAAAGAUUGAAGAACAAAUGACUAUUGCUUUCGUCAUUGGUUUGCACAGCAGAUAUUUUAGAUGAAGAAGAUCGAGUGUGCCAUAAUUAAAUUAAUUUUACCAGCUACCUAAGUUUUUUUUUUUUUUUUUUGGUUUUAUCACUGGCUGGCUACCAAUAGCAUCAUCAAAUAUCAGCUAACCCUAAUGAUUAUUCUUCUUUCCCAAAUAUUUGACCAUGCCUAGAGCAAGAAGUUGAUAACCAGUUCGUACGGGGGCUCUAGGGCUGAUGCUGGAAUGAGUAGUUUGACUUGAGCUCGCAAGCUAUUCAGUUAGUAGCUCGGCUCGAGUUUGUUUUGACCGAGUUCGAGCUGCUUAAUAGAAGCAGCAAGUCGAGUUCGAGGUUCAAUAUUUUGCACUCGAAGACUCGACGAGUCUAAUCAAAUUUUUAUAAUAUAUUUUAAUUUUUUUAUAUUUAUUAUUGUGAAAUGUCAAUAAUAUUAUUUAUUUAAAAUUAUAUGUAAAAUAUUAAUUUUUAUUACGUGAGCUCGAAUAGGCUCAAUUGAAUUUAAUUUAAAUUGAUUAGAUUUAAUUAAACUCGAACUCGAGUAACGUAAAUUGAUGUCGAGUUUAAACUUAAAAUUUUAAAAACUCGACAAACUUGAACUCGAUUUCAAACUUAGUUAUUUUACCUCGAGUCGAGAUCAAAUAAUGCACUACUCGAGUUCGACUGGACUCGAACGCACCCCUAACCACACCUAGAAAGAAAAGGCCACCUUACAGGGUUGCACCAUACUCGAAACUUCUGUUGCUGUUCUUGCUGUUGCUGCUGUUUUUUCUUUUUUCCUUUUUCUCAUUUGGAGAGCGUCACGAACAUUCUGGGCUGUUUCUGAAAUUGAAGGAGACAAUUCGGCUUCUAGACCAAUAAACUUCGAAGCAAUCGAGAGAAACUCAAUGGAGAGAAACUAACUGCAUACGUGUUGAUCGAGCUCAUCAAAGUCCAUUACACAUGAGUUAACUGUUCACAUCACCCGACCGAAGUUAAAAGAAAAGGUCCCACGAAAGAAAACGCAUAUCCUACGCGGACAGCUUAUGUUAAGCUGUUUGUUUGGCUGCAUGUUACUUACCAUGUUAAUCGUGAAAGGACACAACAAUUUUCUUUGGCUGCUUUAGCAAAAUUUCCAAACAUAUGAAAGUUUUACCUGUUGUCGGUGCUGAGAGUGCUUACAAAAAAAGUUAGGUGAGGAAAAUCCAUAGCAGAAACAGUUAGUAUUCCAGCUCUGUGAACUCUUUCGUUCAUUCUCAAUAUAUUAUUGUAAACUACUCCUAUGAAUGAAUCAAUAAUAGCUGGGAACCAUCAUUUAGCCCUGCUUUUUUGCUUACCUAUGUGGUUCAUGAUGAGUUGUGCAACUGUUUUCCACCUCCUCUAACUUGUUUUCCCGAUUUUCUUUCACAAAUCUCGAGCAAAUUGUCUUACUAGAGGAUUUGGUUUCGCAUGAUCGCGUGCAAUUUCCUAAACAAAGUUGGAAUCCAUCAUGUCUUGUCUGUUAAAUUCAUUAGUUGCUGAAAAUUUUGGUGCACUUCGUAACACAACAAGAAGCAAGAAGAAAGCGUUGUAAUGGCGUUCUUUAACCUUUUGUGCCGCGCCAACAGCGGUUGGCAUCAAAGCUCAAAAUGGUUUUUUGAAGAGACGGUCUUCCUCGAGCAAUAAUAAUUAACUAGUGUGAAUACCCGUGCUACGCACGGUGCUGAUAUUAUUGAAAAAAAUAAAAUGGUGAACAACUAAAGGUGAAAAAUUGAACCAACAAAAUUUAAAUGUAAUAUCUGUUUAACAAUAGUUUGAAAUAUAAUAGAAUGUGUAUAUCAUUCAAGAACUGUCUUUUUUCGAAAGAUGGAUCCUGAAAAAAAAAUUAAAAUUUAUAUUAAAAAAGUGAAUGAUAUAUUUCUACAAAUGAAUGCAAUUGAAUGUUAUUAAAAUGAAAUACUUACAAAUACUAAGCAUUCGAUUUGAUAAUCUUUCUUGAAGGUGCGAACACUCUUCACACCAAUCCACUUUUAGUACGAAAGCCAAAAUUGAUAAUUUAAUUAACUAUUUUGAAUUUUGUGGAGUGUGUACUACAAAUGAAAAUGCACGAUCUUUGACGAUAUAAAAAAACUGUAUAUUUACCAUGAUCACACAAAAGUAUUGGUGAUGCGGAUGGCUGUCGAACUUGAAGAGAGACAAUAUUUUCAUUUCUUUGAUCUAGAAAAAAUAUAUAUAUUAAAUCAAAAAUAAAUAGUUUUUGUAUUUAUUUUAUGUGUAGUAAGUGAUACAUUGUAUGAGAAUUGUUAACAAAAAAAUAUAAUAGUUAAUAUAGAAGUAGCAUCAAUAGAAUUUAAUACAAUUGUGUUGUAAUCAAGUGAAAAUUACGCACCAAUAGAAUUGUUAUUAGCACUCAUAGUUAAUGAAGUAAUCCCUUUAUAAAUAUAUUUUGGUAUAUGUAGACCCCCCAAAUCCCGCAAAACCAAUCACCACUUAUUGAAAAUAAACCAAUAAAUGCACUAAAAUGCCUCCCAUCUAUACCUCAAAUUGCACUUUAACCCAUGAAUUUUAUGCGAAAUUAUCCCUCUAAUUGCUUUUGUCCUUUUCGAUUUUUUCACAUGUCGCUAACUGCUUCAUUCCCUCUGCUAUCACUUGUAUAUUUAAAAUCAAUUUUUAAUAUUAAAUAAAAAUGAAUGUAUUAGUUUAUAAUAUGUUCAUAAUGUGGAUAAAUUAUUAAAUUUGGAAAAGAGCGUAUGUUCUUAUAGGCUUAUUUUUUAUUUUUUUUUGGAAAAUGAAUUUGUUCUUGUAGAUUUUUUUUUUUUGAUACAGAAUUGUUUUUCAAAGAUUUUGGUUCGUAGUCCCUACUAUGUUUAAACCAUCUUUUAAUAUCCAAUUCAAUAUUGUCUUUUAAUUUGGCAGCCUCUAUAAUUUUUAAUUUAUUCUUUUGGUUUAAGUUCAGUUUGAAUUCAGAAUUUUUCAAAUACCAAGAGAAACCAGAUUUUUUUUUAAAAUCACUGUCUUGAGUCAGGUAGAGCGCCGAAAUAUGAGUCAGGAUUAUUUCUUUUAUGCAGUUAGUUUCCUGAUAUCUGGUAUGAUAUAUAAUUAUGUCCCUUGGAUUUUUUUUUCAUAUAGAUAUUGUUAGGUCUUUGGCAUCACUACUGAACAUUAUCCAAACUUAGAAUGACGCGUUUUUUCUAAUCCAGUGGAUGCAAAAAUACAAAAAUAAAAAAAAAUGAAGGUAAUAUUGUGAUUCAAACUCUAAAAAGUAGGAUACCAUCCUUCAAGAAGUUUCAUGCCUUCUUUAGCAUCUUAAAAAGAUGCAACAUAGAACAGUUAUUUGAAUGCUAAUAAACUCUCUUUCUACCAAUUUUGAAAGGCCAACCAUUAAAAGUAAAGUGAAAAUUAUUGCAGUCAAUGCAGAGAGAAAAUGAUAAAGAAAAGAAAUGCUAGAAUGCAAUUUUGCCAAAAGAAUUUCUGACAAAAUUAAAAAUUAAUCCAAUUUUAAUAAUGGGCGUAUAGUGCCUUAGUUAUUAGUAGUAUCUGAAUUGUUUUUCUCUAAUUAUAAAUCAUUUUUAAUUAUUUUUUAUUAUCAAAAAAAUAUUUUUUUUAUUUCAUGCACGAUCAUUUUUGGAAUAAAAUUAUGAAAAUAACUAUCGUAACACCUUUUUUAUGUGAUAAAUGUGCAAUAAAAAAUAAUUAAAAAAAUUUCAGUAAUACAAACAAAUAAAUUUUUAUAAUAUACAAUUUAUGUUAGAAAUAGUAAAACCCUCAAUCAUGAAUCUAUACCAUUCGCAAUUAUAUAAGCAAGCAAUACCUUAUGUUAGAAAUGCGAUUGUGAUUUUGUGUUUAUACUUUAUCCCACUAUUGACUAUCUUUGCUUUACAGUGUAACAAUAAGCAAACAAUCGUUCAUAGGAUUUUGUAAAAAAUUUUCAGAAAUAAUGGAUGAUCAGGAAAUCAAUGCAAUAUCAUUCAUGACAAAAAGCAAAGCAAAAGCAAAACAUACUUAAAAGGUAGAGGGGACUGACCUGAAAAAUUAAGUUGGCAAGAAUAUAUUUCCAAUUCUCCACAAGAAGGUUGAGUUCUGCUAAAGUCUCUGCACAUAAUAUCUUCCACUACUGCUCAUAAAAGAAACAAAAUCAAUACAUUUACAAAAUGAAUAGAGAACCAAAAACAAAUAAGAAAAUGAGAGAGAGUGGGGGUGAGAUAGUAGGAUAGUGGGAAUAGAGAAUUUGUAGGAAUGGUUAUAGGAUGAGUUAAGAUAGUGGGAUAGUGGGAAUAUUGAUGGGUGAUAAGGUGGGUUAUAACCUACUACAUUUUAUGUAUUAAAAUAAAUACAAAAAUCUAGAAAAAAGAAUGAGAAGUUUAGAAGUCAUUGAGAGGGUUUCUGCUAAAAAUCCCUUCCUGAAUACAUAUAGAUAUAGAUAUAGAUGUGUCUUGUACGUUUCCAAUUUCCACUCUCCCCUUAUAUGAUGUUGAAUUUUUUAAAAAUAAUAAUAAUAAUAAAGGGUUGUUAUUGCAAUUUUCUUUUUCUGUUUUGGGUCUGGAGUCCAAUAUUGUACCCAGAAAAAAAAAUAUUUUUUUGAAAAGGCCUCUCCCGCAAAGGUGAAAGGUUAGAGCAAUGAGCCAAGGCCCGUGAUGUCUGGACGGAAUCGCGUUUCAAGGUUCUUAUCCACCCAAAACUCUUAAAAAUUGGCAGAAGGCAGCCCAUAACAUGCGGUUUGUUUCUCGAAGACCAGCUGCCCGCACACCAUUCCACUCUCUCCGAAAUAAAAGAAUGCCCCAUAAUAAUUCGUGAAUCCUUCCCACUCCGUUGUCAGUGUCCUUUAGGGGUAGAGGGAUAAAAAAUGGGUGAUUUGGACAGGUUGAAAUGAAUAAUAGAUAUAAGUGAGUUAAUUUAUUUUAGGGAUAAUUUCAGAAACCUCCCCUGAGGUUUCUGACAUUUACACUUACCUCCCCUGUGGUUUAAACAAUUACACUGACCUCCCCUGAGAUUACUAAUCCUUUACAAAUUCAGUCCAAAUAAUUAAAAUAUUAUUUUAGAGAGUGAAAUUAGAAUUUUGUACCUGAUUUGUACUUUGUGUUACAUGUCCAAUGAAUGAUAAAGUAUUAUAAAUUAAUUAACAAUUAAUAAACUUUAAGGAACGUAGUUUAUAGGCAAAUACGUAUUACAUAUUUAAAGUAUCAACUUUUUACGGGUAUUUUACUUUCAAAUAUUUACUUUAUUACAAAUAUUUAUUCUCAAAUACAGAUUUGUAUUUAUCCUCAAAUAUUUAAUUUUUAUUAAACACAAAACCUACCAGUUUUUCUUCCGUAGAAAUAUUAAUAUAACACUUUUUCAAUUUUAGUUAUAAAUAUUUAUGUAUUUAACAUAAAUUAAAUGAUUUAGGAUAAAAUAUCCAUAAAGAGCCAAUACUUUACUCAUGUAAUGGAGAAAACCAUAAAAAUUAAUAUUUUAUGAGGCCGUUUAUUUUUUAAAAAGUAUUUAAUUUAUAUUAAAUAGAUGACCUACUGAUUUUUUUUGCAAGAAUAUUACUGUAACACUUUUUAAUUUUUAAUUACAAAUGUUAAUAUAUUUAUCAUAAAUUAAAUAUUUGAAAAUAAAAUAUCUGUAAAGAGCCGAUACUUUAAAUAGGAUAUGCGUAUUUGCCUAUAAACUACACUAUUUAAAGUAAGGAGUAUAGUUUAUUGAUUUAAGUUAAGGAGUGUAGUUUAUUGAUUUAAGUAAGGAGUGUAGUUUAUAGGCAAAUAUGCAUAACUUAUUUAAAGUACCAGCUCUUUACAGGUAUUUUAUUUUUAAAUAUUUAAUUAUAAUAAAUAUAUCAAUAUUUGUAAUUAAAAAUUAAAAGGUGUUACAAUAAUAUUCUUGCAAAAAGAAAAUCAAUAGGUUAUCUAUUUAAUAUAAAUUAAAAUUUUUUAAAAAAAAAGAAAUGGCCUAUAAAAUGUUAAUUUUUUAUGGCUUUCAUCCAUUACACAAGUAAAGUAUUAGCUCUUUAUGAGUAUUUUAUUCUGAAUCAUUUAAUUUAUAUUAAAUACAUAAAUAUUUGUGACUAAAAUUGAAAAAAUGUUAUAUUAAUAUUUCUACGGAAGAAAAACUGGUAGGUUUUGUAUUUAACAAAAAUUAAAUAUUUGAGAGUAAAUACAAAUCUGUAUUUGAGAAUAAAUAUUUGUGAUAAAGUAAAUGUUUGAAAGUAAAAUAUAUGUAAAGAGCUGGUACAUUAAAUAGGCAAUACGUAUUUUGCUUAUAAACUACGCUCGUUAAAGUUUAUUAAUUGUUAAUUAAUUUGUAAUACUUUGCCAUUCAUUGGACAUGUGACACAAAGGACAAAUCAGGUACAAAAUUCUAAUUUCACUCUCUAAAAUAAUUUUAAUCAUUUGGACUGAAUUUGUAAAGGAUUAGUAACCUCAGGGGAGGUCAGUGUAAUUGUUCAAACUACAGGGGAGGUAAGUGUAAAUGUCAGAAAUCCCAGGGGAGGUUUCUGAAAUUAUCCCUUUAUUUUAUAACCAUUUAAUUAUAUGGAUAUAAAUGAGUUAGAUAAUUCAAUUAUCCAUUUAUUUUAACUUUUUAUAAACUCAUUUAAAUUCAUUUUUAUAAACUAAAUUAUUAAUUUAUACCACUCUUUACACCCUCAUUAGUUUUAGAUAUUUUUGCUUAUAAUGUUCAAUAAGCCUAAUUACCAAUUUUUUCUAUCCAUGUUUUAUGUUGCAAAAUUACAUACUAUUUAAUAAUUGAACAAUAAGAAUAUAAAAAUUUGAACCAAAUACUAUGAAAGUUAACAUAAAAACUUAAUCCAAAUACUUUGAACCAUUAGCAUUUUUUUCGUAUAUAUAUUUAAAAUUUCAUUUUUGCAAGGUAGGAAAACAGGCUAAAACUUAUCAUAAAUUGAUAAUGCUGAAAAAUAAGCAAGUUAACAAAGUACCAGAAAAUAAAAUAAUAAGAUAAAACUAACAAAUAAUAAUAAUAAUAAUGAAACAAAAGUAGUUAAUAUCAUGAUAAAAUGAAGAAUGUAGAAAAAUAUUAAGGAGGAUAUUUAUCUGUGUCAAAAAUACAUCAAAUGUUUGUUAAGGCUAAAAAAUAAAAUAUUCCACGAUAUACAAGUCUUUUAGCAAUAUUGAUGCAUGAAAGUCUCCAACAAUGAGUUCAAUAAUCAAAUGCGAGUUUCAAAUUUCUUCUAAAUGGGUAGGGAAAGAAAGGAGGUAUGGAGGAAAACAAUUCUACACGAAUUAAUUGGAUUUGGUGGGUUAAGCAAAUAGGUAUUAUUAUGUAACCCAUUUAUACCCAUAUACAAAAAUUUAAAAUAUAAAAAAAAAAAUCUAUCAAUGGGUGGUUAUGGAUAAAUUUAGAUAAAUGAGUUUGUUAGCCACCUAUACCUAGGAAGUAUGAACAUUACUUUUUUUAAUCCCAUUUUAUUAUUGAGGGCCUUUUGAUAAUUGAGUUCGUAUAAAAAAUGAAAUUACUCUUCCUUGUGUGGGUGUGUGUGUGUGUGUGUGUGUGUUUUUAUCUUUCUUUGACCAUCUAUAUCUAUAUCUAUAUCUAUAUCUAUAUAAAUUUGAGAAGGGAUUUUUAGCAACAAGUUUUCACAAAUCUUCCCACUCUCAACUCUAUUUUUUUAGUAUUUUACAUUUAAUUUAUUUCGUAAAAAACAUCAUGGGCACAUUACACCCCCACGUUUCCCUCAAACAAGAAGUUAACUCCAACUAACACUCUUUACACACCUUACUCCAACUGACACUCCUCACACACCUUCCCACUACAAUUAAAACUUUGCCAAUCAAGAAUGUCACUUAUAUUAAAACUCUUCCAAUUCCAUCAUAAGAUUGCGCAUGAUUUCUUUCCACUUCAUGUUGGUAUCCUUAUUAGCGCUCAAAUUAAAUUUCACUCCACACACACCUUUCCACUACAAUUGUAACCCUUCCAAACAAGAAUUUGCGAAUUUGCCAAUGCCAUAUAUUGUCGUUUCUACUCUUUCAAUGCCAUAACCAAUUCUCACUACAAAUUCUAUUUUUCUAACAUUUCACAUUUAAUUUAAUUUAUAAAAUAUAUUUCUCUCAACUUCCACAUCUAUUCUUCACAUUUGAAAUUAUUGGUUACUUCUUAAAAUCAUUUCAAUUCAAAUUGUUGGUUAAUGUGCAUGUUAUCUUAUUUAAAUUUCAACCCAUCACAUUUCCGAUUGUCUUGCAUUAUUUAUGAAUCUACAAUAAUUAAAACUUCUAUAAGACCAUAAGAAAAGAUAAUAAAUAUAACAUCCUUUCAUGCUUUCUUAUUAAUUUAAAUAAGUAAGAUUAUUUCCACUCCAUUUUUGUUAUUCACACUUCAAUAAUCAUUUUGAUCAUAUAAAUUUCAUUAAUUAGACUAUAUGAUAAAACAAAUGGUGGAAUUGCAAAUAAUAAAAAAUUGAGUGCAAAUAACAUUUUCUUAAGUAAGAAGUGGCCUCCAUACCUUUCUAAAUUUAAAAAAUAGUGGUUCCGCUUAUAUAGGAAUUUGGUUUGAAGUUUAUUAGUGGGAGGGUAAAUAAAAAGAAAAUAUUGCCAAACUUAGUAAAAGUAAAAAAGUAACUGAUAAUAUUUUAUCUUUAAGCUUAGUAAUCCUAAGUAAAAAGGCAAAAUUAAAUAGAAAAUAAUGUCUUGGAUUUAAAAAAAAUCAAGAAUGGUACCAUUCAUGAAAUCCAAAUUAUGAAAUCACUAAAUAAAAAACAAAGUAUUACUAGCCUUUUAACUUGAAUUUUUUUUAAAUAUUCAUUUUUGAUAAAAAAAAAAAUAAUGAUAAUAACAACACCAAUUCUACCAAAAAUUUUUAAAAAAGUAAUAUUAUAGUUUAAGAGAAAGAUAUAGAACAUUCAACCCUAAAAUACUACUUAAUUUGUAUAUAUCUGGCACAAAUUUGACAUUAGAAUUGAAUAAGAGUGCAAAAGCCAAACACUAAGGAUAACUUUUGGUAUCAUUAAUAAUUUUCUAUAUUAUUAUUGCUGUCUUCAUAUGUAAUUAUGUAUUUGCUAUGUUAUAUAUAUAUAUAUAUAUAUAUAUAUAUAUAUAUAUAUAUAUAUAUAUAUAUUGAUUGUAGUAUUUGAGGAUAUUGUAGAUAUUAUCAGUUUUGCAUUUCACUUUUAGAUACUAAUAAUUGCAACCAUUGUAAUUAAUUUUCAAUUUUAUAUUUUCAUUAUGAUAGGUAAAGUUAAAUGUAUUAUGUCGCAGGGAUAUAAAUUUAGAAGUUAGGUAUAGGGGGAGGAGGGAGGGAAGAAAAUGAUGAGGUAUUGAAAAGUAGCAGGAAAGGUUGAAGAAGAAAUACGAGUUAUAAGGAUGGGCGGAUAAGUUAAAGAAGAAGAAAGGGGAUUACAAGGAUAUGACAAAAAUGACAAAAAGAUAAUAAUAAUAGAGAGGGUGGUACCAUGAUAGAAGAUAUGAAAGUCGUAGGAGGCAUCUGAUGACUAGUUAGCGUAUAAGAGAAGAGGAAAAUGAUGGUGAUUUUUAAUAAUUUUGAGAACUCUAAAAACACAUAUUAUGGAGAAUUUUUUUUAAAAAUAUACGUUAAAAUUUAUGAAAAAUACUAAUCUAAAUGCAAUCAACAAUUUUAGGGACACAAGAUGGGAGAAAGAUUUUUUUUUCUAAAAAUGGAAGAAAAUAAAUUGGUUAUAAUUUAUUUUUUUAUAUUAUAAGUUUUGAUAUAUGGAUAUAACAUAAUAUGUUUUGUCAGAUAUUGAUAAAUUAACUUUUUUUUUAGAAAACUCUUUACACCUUACUACCCAACUUAACCCUCUCCUUAAAUGCGUUAACAAUUCUUUUAUCAUGUAAAUCAUUAUAGAUUAAUUUUUUUUAAAUAUUAAGCAUACACUUCUUUAAAAUUUUUAGUCUAUAUAUAUAUUUAUUAUUUUGUACCACAAUAUAUAAAUAUAUAAAAUAUUAUUUUGAUUUGAAAUAUCCCGUGCAUGGCACGGGUCAAAACACUAGUACUAUAUAAUUUGUCAUACGAGAGAGAAUAACGGUGUAACCACCGAGCAAUAACAUGAGUUUAGUCCCUUUUUGGAUUGUAGGUUGGGGAUUUGAAUCCUACCUGCAGUAAAAAAAAAUUAAAAAGAGGUGUUAAAGCACCCUUUGAGUCUAGCCGGAUUUUUAAAUCUACUAAUUCCUUAUACAUAGUUUCUUUAUAGAUAGUUUCUUUAAACUCAUCUACAUGUAAAAAUAUUAUCGUUAAGGUAAAAAAAAAAAGAAAAAGAAAGGACAACUGUGUGCUUCAAUGACAACCUUGGAAUCCAAUUAUAGCAUGUUGUAACCCAUUCUCUCUCCUUUUUUUUUUUUUGUGUUGGUUCGUUGAUUCACAACAAUUGGAAACAAAAUAUCUUGUUUAAUAAUAUACAAAGGAAACAAACACAAAGGAAACAAACAAAGGGCCUGCUGCCACCACGAAGCUUCCCUGGAGCCAUGUCCCUAAUAAAAAGUUAACCAAAUGCAUUUAAGUUCCUAAGUUCGAGUCUCGGUUACGUUGGGUUCUUCCGCGCAUUUAUCGUGUUCGGGUCGGGUUGGGGCUCCAAGCUCGGGUCGCAAGGGAUUAGUCGGAUCCCGUAAGAAUUGACCCGGACGCUCCUGCAUGGACAAAAAAAAAAUGUAUUUACACAGGGAACCACAAUUAUUAAUUCCCUCCAAAUUGCGAUUUGGCAAUCUAUCCAAGAAUCGUGAAACACAAUUUGGUCGGCGGUUGAAAAGGUAUAUUUGGGGACAGGAAUCGAUGAUUCCCUCCAAACGGCACUUUGUUUGGUUAGUGAUUACUAAAAGCGAACGAAAGAACAGUGGUUAAUAAGGUUUAUUCAUACAGGGGAUCACGAUUUGUCAUUCCCUCCAAACCGCAGUUUGGCAAUUAAUUAAAGGAGAUGAAACAUAAUUUUUGGUUAGUGCUUAAUAAGGUAUGUUUAUACAGGGGACCAGAAUUAAGAAUUCCCUCCAAAAUGUGGUUUGGAGACGUAUCCAAGAAUCACGAAACGGGAGGUCCUACAAAAGGUACCUACGAUAGUGUCAUGUAGCAAUUCAAGGUUGGAUGUAUAAAGAGAGAUAUCAAUUUUUAAAUAGUUUUAAGAGUUUAGAUUAUUUUUUUUUUCGAAUUUAAGAGUUUAGAUUAUUGAAUGAUGUUACGAGACUUUAUUGAAUUACAUGAGUAUGAUAGCGAAAGGGGAUGGUGAAAUUUCCCAUCAAACAUGAGCUAGUCAGUGCUUAAUAAUUCCGAUUAAUAAUUAAGACAUUUAUGAUUUAUCAUACUCCAUGGGAUCACGGCUAAUAAUUGCCUCCGUGCUGCAGUUUCGCAGUUAAAAAUUGCCGGGAACAGCAUCAUUUUCUUCCCGAUAAUAGUUGAGUUGAUCUCCUUCCUCUUCCCCCAGUUAUUUUUAUCCUCAAAUCGGGAUCAGAUUCCAGAAGUAAACGAUGGCAGCUGGUUCACCCCUCGAGCUCCGACCUCUUGGCAACACCGGCCUCAAGCUCAGCUCCAUCGGCUUUGGCGCCUCCCCACUUGGCCGGGUCUUCGGCCCCGUCUCUGAGGAGGAAGCAAUCGCCUCCGUUUGUGAAGCCUUUCGCCUUGGCAUCAACUUCUUUGACACCUCCCCGUGAGAAAAAAGAAAUCCCGUUUUUCAUUUUGAUUUUAAUUAGCUGGUUUCUUUUUCUAAUUUGCUGAUAAAAUGGGUUAAUUUGUACUAACAUUUGACAAUUGUUUUUUAUGCGAUUUAGGUACUAUGGAGCGACCUUGUCGGAAAAGAUGUUGGGGAAGGGUUUGAAAGCACUUGGGGUGGCUAGAGAUCAGUACAUUGUAUCUACAAAAUGUGGGAGAUAUCAGGAGGGUUUUGAUUUCAGUGCUGAGAGAGUGACCAAAAGUGUCGAUGAAAGCCUGGAAAGGUUGCACCUGGAUUAUGUUGAUAUAUUGCUUUGUCAUGAUAUUGAAUUUGGUUCUCUUGAUCAGGUGCCGUAUUUUUUGUACUUCUUGCAUUUUGAAUAGUAGGGGAUAAGAAAAUUAUUUUAUUAGGUAGUUAUGAACUCUGUGGCUCGUUUUAUUUGUUUCUCCAACAGAUUGUAAACGAGACAAUUCCUGCCCUUCUGAAACUAAAGGAAGCAGGGAAAACGCGAUUUAUUGGUUUAACAGGAUUGCCAUUAGGGAUUUUUACUUAUGUGCUUGAUCGAGUACCACCAGGUACGAUUGAUGUGAUUCUCUCCUAUUGUCACUAUAGCAUUAAUGAUUCGACAUUGGAAGGUCUACUGCCCUACUUAAAGAGCAAGGGUGUUGGGGUGAUAAGUGCCUCUCCCCUAUCUAUGGGGCUUCUUACAGAAAGUGGUCCUCCAGAGUGGCACCCUGCUCUUCCUGAACUGAAGGUUUUGAUUCUCUUUUCUGAUUAGCAUCCUUUUCUAGUUUUUAUUUAUUUUAAGAGCUAAAUACACAUACUUUCUUAACCUUUGCACGUAAUUUAGAAUGUAAACACUGGCAAGUUUGGUCUGUUUGUUGCCAGUGUCAUGGUGAGAGCCUUUCGUAUUGUAUUAAUUGUUUGCCUGACAAAUGUUAUUCCGGUAUCUAUGCUACUUUCAUACUUGACCUCUUUUUGUGUCAAACUUCAUCUUAGACGUCAAUGCUACAAAACUGAUCUCAGACAAAUAUAGUGUGUUACCUCGAUGCUUUAUGACAAGGUGAUCAUGAUCUUGCAUAAGUCUCAACUUUUUCACUGUAAAGAACCUUACUUUAUGUAGCUUAAAGUGUGUUAUGUAUAUUGUACUGUGUGUCGGUUACUUCUCUCAAAGUUGUGUUGAAGAAAUUACCUCGUAAUGGGCCAAUGCCCAUCCGACAAGGUGUAAAAAGUGAUGGAGGAUUUCUGGUAGAGCAAUCUCAGGAGAUAAGUGGGCAAACUCUAUGAGAGUAGCCCCACAGGAGAUAAGGUUUUUUUAGAAGAACGCUUGUCUGCUUGCUUGAGUGCAGUACAAAUCAAUUGCAUCUUGGUUUAUGCUCACUAACGCAGUCAUCUUUUAAGUCCUUACUAUUAUUCUGGAUGUGUCAUUGUCUGGAGCUUACUCUCAAUCUGGUUGAAAUACCCUAGUUUGCUUUUCCUCAGGCUGCAUGUCAAUCUGCUUCUGCCUACUGUAAGGAGAAGGGAAAGAAUAUAUCUAAAUUAGCUAUUCAGUUCAGCCUAUCAAAUAAAGACAUCUCUACAAUACUGGUUGGAAUGAACUCUGUCACCCAGGUAAGGUUACUAUACUGAGCCUGAAUGUCAACAACGUACAAAUACAAAAUUUGGCCUUGUGGAGAAAUUUUUCUUGUUAGCCAAUGAUCUUUCUUUAGUAUUUCACCUAGACCACGCUUCAAGAGAUUCACGAUUAGCUACAAUCUGUUUUAUUUUACAGUCUUUGGUAUCAUUGCCAUUCCUAACUUAAGUCAUUUCUCCAAUAAAAGAUAAGGAUCUGAAGACAAACGCGUGUGGAAAAUGCAAAGCAUGCAUGUUUUUCUUUUGAGAUAAAUACUUGAUGGUAUUGGAUUUUCAUUUUAGAAGAAUUAUAAAGAGGUAUACCGAUUCGAUCUAAGCUCUCUUAUAAAGAUUAUUUCUUUGUUCUGAUUUUUAUUCCGUGUAAAACUUUGUUUCAUUCCAUGUCUCUUCAAUUGUUAUUUUUAACUUUUCCAGACAACUUUAAAUUUAGGUUAAGAGUAGGGAAUCUAGGGGAUUAUGAGUAAUGUCUUAUCAUUUCCUCGGUGAUACAGCACUUGACAAGCUUGAGACGGUUUUCUGAAAAGAAGAAGGCCUAGCAUAAUAUAAUUACCAUGAAGAAUUAGAGGAACCAGUGAUCGUCCCUGGCUGCCAGAUUUGGGGGUUAGGGAGGCUUAGGGGAGGGAGGGAUGGGUAAAAAAGAAGAAGAAGAAGAAGAAGAAUUAGCAGAACUAUUAUUUGUAAUGAGUUGGGGGCUGCUGGUUCCUACUUUUAACCAUCAGUUCCACUGUGAUAUAAGUAACAAACAAAGUUGUGGAUCAUCAGGUUGAACAAAAUGUAGCGGCUGCAGCAGAGCUUGAAACAGUAGGAAAGGAUGAGAAAUUACUGGCUGAAAUUGAGAAGAUUUUGGAGCCCGUGAAGAACCAGACGUGGCCAAGUGGAAUUCAGCAGCUUUGAUAUCGUAUCUGCUAUUAACUGCUUAGCAUCUGUUGCAUGGACAUUUCCAAGGUUUCUUCUCAUCUCUGUGAAUCCCAAAUUGGUGGUGUCUUUCCUUAUUCUCUUUCUUUUUAAGGGUACCCGGUUUAGUUAAAGCUCUGUAUCACCCAAAGCCAAGGGAAAAUAAAAAAGAAGCUUAGCAUCUUCAUUCCAGAUGGUGACCAUAUGUACUUUAUCGCAUUGCGUCCGAGAUUACCGAACUAGGGAGUCUUACAUAACACUUGUGGAUCCAUUUAUCUUGCAUUAAUCCAGGAAUUGUUAACAUUGUCGGCUUCAACUGCGCGAAUUCGGGAGCCCAAGAUCACCUUAAACAAAAAAUAAUUGCGGACAACAAUUAAGCGAAGGAGUUAUACUAAUUAGCAUCUACAAUAGCUUCUCUAACCAUUAGUAAAGCCAUCGGCGAUUAUGUCAGUGAGUGCAAAACAACAAUCUCUAAACUCAGGCCAACGAUCUGUCUCAAAAAUUCGAACACAAUUCUUGCAGUAAUGAACCCAUUUCUCACUUGAACUAUAAUCUCUGAUUGUCAAUCAAGUACAUGGAGAGAAGAUACCACUUCCACAAUAAGAUAAUGUACAUUCCCCCCCCCCCCCACCCCAAAUAUUAAUUUUGAGAUUUUGCUUUGUACAAAGUGUAAACAAUCUUUGAGUUCUGCUUUCCUAUUUCAAAUUGAUCUACAUUGUAUCCGUGACAAAUGUCAGAAUUUACUUGCAUGUAGCAAUGGAUUCCCAUUCAAAUAGCAAGCAAGCAUCUUCGACUUUCACUACCUCGCAACCUGCUGUAAAGGAGGCCAAGCAAUCUCAUUAUCAUCCGUAUAACCACGUAUGACGAAGUCUGAGCAGUUCUUCCUGCACCCGUGGUUAUACGGGUUGCGAAAGCGGCCAUCUGGCCCGCGAAGAUAUCCAUAACGUAUAGCAUUUGCCAUUUCAUUUGUGGUAAUAUUCCUAGAGAUCUGCGCGGCAGAAGACUUGAUCAGUUACCAGUACCAAACACGACUGAGCAUCCAAGACAACAUUUUCACUAUGUGAAAAGUUAAAACCCAAAACAAAAAAUGGAAUUUCCUUGUUCAAACUAAGCUAUGUCUUCGAAUUUGGCAAAAGUGGGAAGGGGGCCAGGCACUCAAUUUCUAGCAUUGCCGCAACAAGGCAACAACUUUCGACCACAAGACUUGAACCUGAAUUUUCCGUCACAAUUCACCCCAACAAUACAAGCUUGAAUCUUUUCUUUUUCUGGGGGCCACAGGGGGAGGAAGUGCAUAAGACAAGAAAAUUUUGGUUCUUCUUGCCAACUCUCUUUCAUUAUCUGUUCUUUUAUUCCCCAGUUGUGUUUAUGUGGUGGUGAAUAGGAGGGUGUUGAUCCAUUACCUGUGAAACUUGAACUAUCAAUAGAGUUGCAGCAGCAAGAAGAAUAGAUCCAUCCAUGAUAAGAAAUGCGACAACCCCAGGGUGUUCAAAAAUAACGUGAUGAAUCCAUGUUUCUCCCUGUAGCACAAAUACUGAUGUCCAAAUUCCUGCCAUAUCGAGACAUUAUUGUUAUUCGUGAGUAAGUGAAGACAUAAAUGCUAUCAAAGACUUAUCCAACUUACUUUGAAGAGCAACAGCAGCACCAAUUAAUGAUGUCAUCAUCCCCAAACAGAGAAAAAUGAAAAAGUCACGUUUAUUCCUCUACAAAAACAUCAGAAGAAAUGAAAUAGUGAAGCCAAGGAUAACUAUUCAGUAUGUAACUGCAAAGUGUAAAACAACCUACAAGUAUUGCCACCAAUAGUAGCAAAUUUUUAGAUAAUAUGUUAGAGAAAGUCUAUAUAUGAAACCAAAGCCACAUGAAUUAACAGAGAGAGUUUGCAAGUGCAAAGCAGGAUUCGGUACAUUUCAGCAUCAACAGCAUCAUAUAUAAGAAAGAUAGUAGCAGAAGACCAAACUGUAUUUAAUAACUUCUGUCGCAGAAUCCCAUCAUAAGGCUAUAUUACAAAGGCAGGCAACCAGUGAAACAUCUCAUUCUGUGUAAAAGAAUUGAAGUACGUCAAAAAGUGACUCCAACUUAAGAUCUCUAUCACGAAGCCACAAAAGAAGCUCAUUCUCCCAGGACAAAUAGAGAAACACAGGGGCUUAAUAAGAGUAAGAAACAAGCAGGAACCAACAAGUUGAACCAAUAUUGAAUAACCGAGAUUUCUUAUGAAACUAUGAACAAACCUAAAUAUACUGCAAUAUAGUUACUUUAAUCAGCAAAUAACACUAAGACCUACCUUCCCCACACAAUUUGAGAUCCAGGGACAGUGAUGGUCAAACUGUUCCACACAGUGUUUGCAAGUUGGACAGUGCUUUGAGCGAACUGGUCUUAUUAUCUAUACAUAAACCAAAAAGAGAGAUGACCCACAUAUUACUAAAUGUAAGAUACAAAGGAUUUUACAUACUCUGCUUCAAAAUUUAACUAAUUAGCAUAGAGAAAAGUUAGUUUACAUAUUUCUAGAGCAUAUUAAAUUGGUAGCAGAAUAACUCAAUUAUAAAACCUUGCAGGUAGGGCAGAGCUGAGACCAAUUUCCAGUCCAAACUGAGGAACUGUUCAAAUCAAUGUUCAACAAAGGAUCCUGCGAAAGUUAAAUAACCUAAUUAAGAAUCAAAAGAUGAAGACGGCCAUACCAAAAUCUAAAAUUUGCAGAAAAAGAAGAUGCAAGAAGGUGAUAGGCAGAGAAACACAGAAGAGCUCAAGUACCUCUGAGUCAAAAUGACUAUCCAUCCCAGUCUUUAUAUAACCUGGAUCUUUGCUGCAAUUGAAUCAGAAAGCGCCAUCAGACAACAUGAAAAAAAAUUAUGCAGAGGAUUAUGUGCUAAGUAUCAUAAAAUGAGGACCGAUGCAACUAGCGGUACCAUGUUUGACAUUUACAAUAAACAGAACAAACAAGAAGCCCAGACAAAAUGAUCAAUUGUUUCUGAAAAAUUAAAGCUGAAAUGGGAACUUCAAACACAUAAAAUAAGCAACUGCUGGUGAUGACACAAAAUACUAGUUCCAAGCCAACCACUAUCACUUUUUCAAAAUAAAAUCAUGACAAAGCUACUAGGCCCCAGUCACAAACAGUGCUCUAAAAGAUCAUGGCGAAUCUUUCCGAGUCCUGGAAUUGAACUUCAAUAACUUCAUCAAAUUUGACAGAUCUAAACUAGGCCAUGCUUUAGCUUAUUUACUUAAAAACUACCUUUUGAUGCUUUAGUACAAAAGCAAAUUUUGGGGACAAUAUGAUUUCUUGCUCACCAAAUUGAGUUUUCUGUUCAUACUUUGACAAUAUUUAAGUAUAUUUGUAUAGAAAUCUAAAUUAUGAUAAUUUUAAAUAGAAAAGCAAUCAUGUCUGCAAAAGUAAACAAACUCUAUUCUAUAACUAAAUGAUUCACAUUCAGCUGCGUUUCCAGAUUCAGCAAUACGAGAAACCUGCUAAUUCACAUUUUCCACCCAUAACUUGUUUCUGUAAGCAGUCUAUCACAGUUGAUGACACUUAUCAGCUGGAAGUUAACUGCUAGACUAAUCAAAUGCAUACACAAGUAAUGAAAAGAUAGAUGCAAAAGAAUGCAGUUCACACACAAAAUGGCAUUCAGAUCAAAAGAAAUCAUAGCACAAUAUUCUGUAUAGGAUGAAAAGAUACAUACCUGCUACAGCGGACAAACAUUACCAGUGCUGCCACUCCCAGAGAAACACCAGUCCAUCCCCAAAGUCCAACUACAGCAGUUACUUUUGUCAUAUUUGAAGCUAGCACAAGUGUUUUGAAAAGAUUAGCAAGGAAGCAAUUCUAACUUGAUAUAUGGAAUAGUCUAAAAUUUAUAGAUUUAAUUACCAAAAAUGACUGAAUUCAUGAAGAGAAUGAUGUUGAAAACUACAAGAGAGAACAGAAUUGGAGCAUAACCAAUAUUUCCGUUCUUCCAAGGGAAAAUUUUGUUCUGCCAGCCCUUACUGUGUGCAUGCAGAACAUUAGACUGCAACAAAAACAAAUCAGAUCGUAUCAAAAUCAGCCUUCCUAAAGGUAAAACUGUCCUAUUUUGAUACUCGAGCAGAAUAGAUAAAUUGUUUCAACUCACAUGACAGGAAAGUCAAAGAAAAAUCUCUACUUGACAAGCAGAAGAAUGCGCUAUUUCAGUUAUAUGUGACACAUACUAACUCUCCUAAUUAGAUUAGGAUUUUUUGUCACUUUGUUUACUUUGUUACUUCUAAAAUUCUUAACUUUAGGAUGCAUAACUUUUACCAUCUCACAAUUUAUAUAAUAGCCCCUUAGCUAAAGAACCAAAAAAAUUAAAAAAAAAAAAACCAAGAACCAAAUAUAGUUGAAUUCAAACAUUACAGCACUACUGCCCUGCAUACAAGAGAAGCAUCACCAGCAUAGCUGUCAAUACUCCUAAAGUUUAUCAAAAGAAAUAUGGAUUUUAGUGUAUUCUCAUUCUCCCAUCUUUUAAAAUUGUUAAAUAUUUAAAUGUGUAUCAUGAGCCAAGAACUACAGUAGGUGGAGUAUGGAAAACUUUGCACGUUGAGCCACCAUCAGAUUUGAGUAAAACACUUCAGCAACUUGAAAGGCCUGAAACAGACAGUUUUGGGGGUAACAGCUACUAAUCUUAUAUACAACUAGAAGUUAUACCAAUGCAAAGUUACCUACGAGGGAAAGACCAAUAUGUCGAUGACCUUUGUCAAAUGCAAGCUGUACAGGCGUAAACCCAGCCUUAUCCUUCACUAGUAGUUCCUCCUUAGUGCCUGUGUGUAGGAGAAUAGUACAUGCUUCUGCAUAUCCUCUUAAUGCAGCCCAAUGCAGAGGGGUACAGCCUACAUUUCAAUGACAGAUCAAUUUGGCCAGAACGAGUUAUAUCAAAUGAGAUUACGGAAAUAAGUGUCCAGUCAAGUAAUGUAUAAAGCAUUGUGUCACCCACAGUUGCCUUUAGUUCUUUGACUAAUACAAAAAGUAUCCGAGUGACAUACAUGUUUAAGUCAAAAUGGAUAUUCACCACCCUAAGUGAAUUUGCACGAUCAAAUAUCCUUGAGGAAUUCAACAAAAGCCCUUGAGUCCCACUCAUGUAAAGAACCUCUCUCUACCCUCCCUCUCCCCCUUCUUCCCCCACCCCCUGUUGCAUCAGUCCUACUAACAAUUCUUCUUCACUCCUCCUCCUCCUCGUGAAGGAUGAACAGCCUCUGGCAGACUAGUUGUGGAUUCAAAGAACCCAUCAGGCAUUUACCAAAUGGAAUAUGUAAUGUGCACUCACAUACCCGUGUCUUGUCAUGUCAACCUGUCUGCUUUCGGGUUUAACAACGAGCUGAGCAACAAAGACUCCAAGGAUAAACAGAACAAGCAAAAGUGCCACAAUACAAUAUCAACGUACCUUCUUUAUCCUGCCUCCCUUGGUAUGCAUCUCUAAAUAGCAAUAAUCUGAUUGUAUCAGAAUAUCCCUUGUAAGCAGCCCUGAAAGAGGCCAUUUAAGCAGGCAUAGGCCCAUUAGCAGAAGAGAAACUCAAGUUCAGGAAACUGGCAUCGUAUGUCACUAUUGAAAUAAUGAUAAUAAUACCUAAACUAACUGAGAAAAAAAAAAGGCCAAGCAAAAGAGUAACUAAUCCAACAACUGAAUCACAGCAUCACCCACAAUAUGAUGGUCAAGUAAAAGAAAACUCCUGAUCAAUAUCUUCAGCUAACAGAACAAUACGCCUCUAUGGAUAAGCAGAGUUGCACAUAAUCAUUAAGUAAGCACUUCAGAAUACAUUUAAGUUGUACUUUCAUUUACCAUAUUAGCUAGUAUGGCAGACAGAUGCAUUUAGCAGACAAAAAACAACAUCUGUCAUUAAAACCGCUAAUCCAGGUAACUCCAGAUAUUACAAGAUUCGGAUCACCCCUUUGCUCUUAUUUGACAAUAAUAGAUGACUAGAUCGGUAGUUCUAGAACAAAAAAUGAAAAUUAGAAAUAGCCCUGUUAAUAGAAUAAGAAUGGGACCAGAUUUCUCUAUCUAGACUCAUUUUACCGCUCAAUGUGACAAAAAAAGCAAGAGAAUGCAAUAGCACACAAUUUCAAUUUUGACUUUCCAUCUAUAUCUCAUUGUUCCUCUUGUCUUCCAACUUUUCCACUCAAUUCCUUUACCCAAUUUCAUUUAGAUGCCCCAUCUAGGUAUUGAAAAUUUUUGAACAAGUGGUAUGCUGGAGGGAUUUUACCCAAAGCAAAAAAGAAGAAAAAAGGAAGAGGGAAAAAAAAGGGGAAGAAGAAGAUACAGAUGCAGCAAACAAAUAUAACAUACCAAUGUAGGGGACUUCUUCCAUCAUUAUCAGGCACAUCAAAUUCAGCAUAAUACUUUGCAACAAUGUGAUUUAAGAAUGCUGUUUGUCCAUAUUGAGCUGCUACAUGAACUGCCUGCAAUGUCAGUAGUUACUACUUUGAAAUUAACUGCCAAGGUAUUAGUUAUCUGAAUUAAAUCAAAAGCAACCUUUAAUUUUGGGUGCACAAAGUUCUGCCGAGUUCAUACUUAAAUUUUCUCCCCAAGAAAAAUUAAAAACUUCAAAUAGAAUGUGUUUUUACGUUCCGACAAAUAUCCAACUUGAAUUGCAUCUUACAUGGAAUAAUGAACAAUGACACUACUGAAAGUAAGUUUCAGCGGUAAUUACUACAUCAUAAGAAUAUUCAACAAGCCAGCAAAACAUUACCCGAUAACCAUUAACAUCAACAGCCUCGACUCGCGCCCCGUUCUGCAACAGAACAUCGGCAGCUGCAAUUGAUCCCCUGACAGCCGCCCAAUGCAACGCCGUUUGUCCAGAAUUGUCCGAAGCAUUAACAUCACCACCGCGCUUCAAGAUGAUCCAAAUAAUUCGAUCUUGGAGCAAAAUUGAGCCAAUAAAAAAAAAAAAAAGAAUCUUCGAACACUAAUUAAUUCCUAAAGAACAAUUACCUGGAUGAUAUAUUGUGCUACAUCAGCGAAAUUAUUCAGAGCAGCCCACUGGAGAGCGUAGUAGCCGUUGCCGUCGGGUUGGGAGACAGAAACGCCGUCGUUUUCGACGAAAUUUCGAAGUUUGUCGAAGUCGCCGUAGGCGGAAGCGGAGAAAAUGUCAACAAUGGCAACCUGGGUAGGGUUUUGACAAGCGUUCUUCUGAUCGUUGGAGUCGGAUACCAUUUCGAUCUCGGAUGACGCCAUUUUCAGAUCAAUCAUAACAUGCCAGUAGUAUACUACUAUUAGAGCUUCUCUUGACAGAAGUAAUUAAUUUCGGGGGUUUAGGGCUUAGGGUUUAUAUAUAAUGAUUCGAUGGGCGGGAUUUUCCGUUUCAAUUAUCAGGUGCUUAAGCGCUUUCCGCCAGCUUUUAGCUUUAGCAAGAUUACUUACCAGAGAAGUCCAGACUUCAGACUUUGACUCGCGCGGCUGAAAAUUUCCAAUCAGGGACUCUACAAAAAGAUAUUUGCGCAACCGGCGACACAAUCUUUGGAUAUUCAUCUACUUCCCAUUUAAGUUUUGUACUCCAUGUUAAGUGCCCAUUCAACACAAUCAGUUCUAGUUUACCUAAUAUAUUUGCAAUUAUUCUGGUCCAAUUACCAUCUAGUGUAAAUAUCUGGCAAAAAAUAUUUCCACUCUCAAUAUUUUUAUUUGGAAUUUAAGAUAUCCUGUAUAUUGUUCGCAUGCUGCAUUCAAAUAAAAAAUCUUAUGCAAUUUAAUACAUAUUGUUGUAUGAAUCUUGUCGUUGAUAGAAGAUUAAUUGUGAUUAAAUAUUAUAAUAUGGCCAAUAAAUGUGUAGAGGUAGUAAGUUGUAAUGUAAGUCUAGAAUAUGAAAUCACCAAAUGUUGUUUUAUUAUAUUGUGUCACAAAAAAUAUGAAAUCAUCAAAAGUCGUUCUUUUUUUUUUUUUUUUUGUUUCCUUGACAUUUCUCACCUCUCAAAUGUGACGUAGUUAUUUCUUUAUUCUUCGAUAUAUUUUACACUAUACUUGCCUCCAAAUUUCAAAUAGUAACUUGUCCGGAUCAAGGGUCUCUUAAGUUGAACUUUGUAAUUUUUAUGACUUUUGAUAUAAAUUCAAAUAACCUUAGUGUAGUUAUAAUUUUCAUACUACUAAUUUAAUUGAAUGAGCCGAGAAAUUUGCUUUUAUACAAAAAUGGGGACAUGUUAAUUAUAAUUACAUGUAUCGUGCAAAAUUAGAGACAAUACUACAACUUGAGAGGUACAGGCUAUAUAAUUGGAGCUUGCAUUAUCUCCGAUGAUAUGAUAUGAAAGUGUCAAUCACAACCUUUUUAUAUUGAUUCGUCCAAACUCGCUCAUUAAUAAAUGGAUCCGAGAAUGCAACACAGUUUGAAUGAAUUUUAACUUUACAUGAGUAACUCAGUUAGAUUCAUUUAAUUAGUAGAUAAUGGGUUAACUCAUUUAACCCAUUUAAAAGUAAUUACACAUUCAAAAUCAAUAUUUGGUGAGUAUUAAGGGGAUAUAUUUGAAUUUCUUAUUAAUAAAUCACAAUAAAAUGUCAUUGGAAAGAAUUAAAAAAAAAGAAUUUCAAACAGGUCAUAAACUCAUGCACAUUUAUGCCUAUUUAGUAUAAAUGGAUCAAUUUAAUUAUACCAUCGCCCAAUUAUAAUCCGUCCAAACCAUUCUGACUCCGCUGAAUGUUAAGCUAUCUAUAACUAUGCACAAAAAUUACUAUAACAACUUACAUUUUUUCAACCGUCGAGAUAAUUGAAAAUUUUCAACAAAGUUAAAUUAACACUCGAAAGUAAUCGACGUCAAGGUACUAAACACAAUCUAAGGUACUAUAACAACUUACAGCACCUUGCAAAAUGUUUCGAAAUUAAACCAACACAGAAGGACGAGAGGGAAGUGAGGUGAACUGUUGAGAACUGUUCCGAUAAGUAUAUGGCAGUUGCAAUUAUCAAUGUAGCCAAUUUGGGAGUUUAUGUUAGAAAAGAAAACAUGGGAAAUGUUAAGUUAUGGAAGACAAAAAAAAAAAAAAAAGAAGAGGAGAUUUUAACGUUGUUGUCUGGAAGUUAAGGUAAAAAAAUGGAUGACUUCGGAUAUAUGUAUUAAUAAAAAAUUGUUCAAUACACAUUUGAGUACAAAAUUAGUAUUUAAACAAAUUUUAUUCGACAAUCUCAGCUUCUCCUUUACUUUCCAGCCAUAUCGGGCAGAAAACUUUGACAAGCAAAGUAGUAGGAGUUCAUCCCUUCAAAUCAUAUGCUUUCCGCUCUUUUUCUGCCGCUCAAAGACUGCCAAACGUUAGAAAGACGCCUUUUUUGUCACCUUCUUUUCUUUUUUCGUCAAAUCACAGCUCCCAAACUAGCUAUAGCGACAAAUCAAACAUCACAAUCAUCUCGUCACCACAUGAUUCUAAUGUUGGAAAUUUCAUUAGCAAGCAAGCAAAUUUUAAGCAACCAAGAGGAAAAUGAAAAAUUUUAUACAAGCAACAGCGAGCUAAUGCAAUAUUGUUAGGAAUGGUAGCUGCCGGAGUUAUGGUGUCAUUGAUACCAGGGAUCGGCUCCACUUUGCCAUUAACGAAGAGCCCAUUUUUCAGGCGAUCGAGUACUAUCAGCCUCCGCUUCAUCAGCGAAAACACCAAGCGACUUGAGCAGCAGGGGCACGCCAUUCGCUGUAAUUUUAACCACCCUGGUUACCAGAUCCAAGAAGAAGGCCAGGUUGAUAGCCAUGAUUACAGAGUCUUCUUGCUUGAUAAUACUGGCAAAAAGGUAUACAAAAAAUAAUAGGGGAAAAAAAAUCAAAUUCUUCGUAUGUUAUUUGACCAUGAUCUGACGAUAUUGUGUCAGAAAAUGUUAAACCAACUCACUGAACUAAAGAGAUAACUGACUCAGUGAAGUGAGAGAAUGGAUAAAUUGGGUUCUUCUGUCAACGUUUCAGUUUCAAUUAUUUCAUUAGAUGAACUUUGCUCAGUUUUGGAAACGUGUUAAAAGGGGUGAGGAAUCCUGCUGCUUAGAAUCUGCUCUUUGUUUUAAAACAAAACAAAGACCCUUUAAAUACUGAGCUAUAUUCGGUCCAGGAAAUGCUCGAAUUUGAUGUUGGUGAUUGGCUAAGAAAGUGUGCAAUAGAUUAAUGUACUUCAUUUUGUCUCUAACACCUCAAAAGCAAUUAUGAUCUUAUAUUACAUUUGUGUGAAUGGUGUAGCUACAUGGAAGAUGAACUUGUGACUUGUGUCUCAUACUGUCUAUCUUCUCGUCUGAUUCCUGCUUCUUUUUUUUUUUUUUUUGAAACAGUGUUUAUUACAUGUGCAGAUUUCGCCUUGGCAUGAUAUACCCCUACACGUUGGCAACGGCGUGUUCAAUUUUGUUGCUGAAAUUUCUAAAGAUUCAAACUUGAGAAUGGAGCUUGCCACCGAUGAACUAUACACCCCUCUCAAACAAGAUAAAAUAAGGGGUAGAAUUCGGUAAUGCGUGCAAGGAUGCUUUAACUGUUGUCUUCAUGCUAAGUGUAUUCUCUCCGUUAGGCAUGCUAGGAAGUUUCUAAAAUUUGCAUAUCUUUUGGUUUUUGUAUCUUAAGUCAUAUUGACAUAGCAUAUAAAUAUCUGUUUGCCAGCUUCAUGCUAACAGUAAUUCUUAGCAAAUUUGUUUUCCUCAAGAGAUGCUUAAUGAAUGUAAUGAAAAUGAUACAGUUAGGCUACAGGGAUUACUAACUUGAGCUUUCAAUCAAGGAAAUGAUUAUAGCAUUUUUGCCUCUAAGGUUUUUCUACAACUUCACCUUUCGGCUGCUAGCUUUCUCCGUCUUCUGGGAGAGCUACUUUCUCAUUGUUGAAACCAGCUAGUCAGAUAAGUGAAUUCAACCAUAUUUUAUAGGCAAUCGUGUCAUUAAGGCUGGCAAGCAUUAAGCAGUUGACUAUCAACUUUAGUUUACACAAAGGAAUAUAAGCAUGGUGUGGUUGGAAAACAGUAUCAAUGGCUGAUCUAUUGCAGAUAUCUUAUCUAUGUCAAUGAUAGUUGGAUUUGGCACUUAAAAGGAAUCUAAAUUAAAAAUUUUGUAAUUUCCCGAGUAUUUUUACAAAAUGCAUAUGUAAUAAUACCAAGUGUCUUAAUAGGAGAUAAGAAGGCCUGAACAUAGACAAGAUUGUUUAUCGGGCCUUUAGGUGAACGUUUUAUGUUUUGGUUAAAGUUUUUGUGGGAACAUUGUGUAAUUCAUUGCAAAAUGUAUCUUCUUCUUGUUUCUUUUUCAGCAUUAGUUACCAUCAUAUAAUUGUCUUAGAUGCAAUAUGAAGUGGAAUUAUGGAUUGCUUCCUCAAACUUGGGAAGAUCCUUCAUCUGCAAAUCCAGAAGUUGAUGGCGCAUUUGGAGAUAAUGAUCCUGGUAAACAUCUAUCUAUUCUUAUCUUGUGAUCAACGUUUCUACUGAAAUAAUGUGUCUUUUCCUACUGCUCCAACCAAAAGGAAUAACAGUUUUAUAGAAAGCAUAUUUAUUUCAUACAUCUGAGAGUCCCUUCAUUUUGCAGUUGAUGUUGUUGAGAUUGGGAGCACCUGUGCCAAGGUUGGUGAGGUUUUGAGAGUCAAGCCACUAGCUACUCUUGCACUGAUUGAUGAGGGUCAACUUGAUUGGAAAAUAAUAGCUGUUUCCCUGGAUGAUCCAAGAUGUUCUCUCGUUGAUGAUGUUCAUGACAUUGAAAAAUAUUUUCCGGUAUGUUUAGGUUCAAUGAAGCUCACAUUUUUGCUUUACAGCUUCUUUUUUCUGUAUUCCAUUCAUCUGCAGAUAAUAAUGUUCUGUUUUUUGGCUUAUUCUGUCAGGACAAUUUCUCAUAAUGGUAUUAAAAGAUGUAGGACUCCCACCGCAUCUCAGUAUAAAGUUUCUUUUCAAUUUAACAGCAUGAAUGUCAUUUUGGAGGCCUAGUUUCUGGGUGUUUUAAAAAGUGGUGAUUUGGUAAUCUAAUGAGGGCUACCUAAUAAUCUGGCCAUGAAUCGCUUUUUAGUAUGAGAUAAUUCAACCUGGGCUUCACAUUGUUCUUCUAGACAUCUGUAAGCAUGCAAAAGAAAGCAUGAUUAAUUAGGUUAAGAAUUUAUAAUUGGAUGAAUGAUCACAUUAACUUGACAAUCCAUGAUAAAGUAUGUAAAAUAUGUGAUCUAUUGAAGACAAAAGCAGCAGGCAAAGAAUUAAUCUGCUAAAGAGAAGUUCAUAUUUGGUAAAAAUGUCUCUUACCGACAAGGCUGAUUGGCUGGCUCCCACCUGGAAUAACCUUCUUUAUAAUCUUUUGCAAAUUGAUUGAUCUAUUUCAUGAUAAUACAUUUCUCUGGUCCAAGACUAAGCAUACAUUUCCUUCAGGCCACCCUAACUGCGAUCAGCGAGUUUUUUAGAGACUAUAAGGUCUAUGAUGGAAUACCUGGCAACAAGUUUGGUCUAGGAAACAAGCCAGCAAACAAGGUACACGGUCAAUAAUGCAAGAUCCGGAUUUGUCUUUUACUGAAUGGAUGAGUUAAAAGAUAUUCCAUUUUCCUGAUUCUGGAAAUGUCCUUUCAUAAAAGGUUUGAUUUCUUGUGAAUCAGUCAUACAACCCAUAUUCUGCUUAUUAUAUACCCUUAUCAUAAAUGCUCUAUGGCUUUUUGUUUUUGGUCUGCAUCAAUGUCUCAAGCUGCCCGAGUUCAUAGAGUGCUAAAACUCAGGUUAUCAAUCAUUUAUAUAUGGAUCACCAAACUCUAGUAAUCUAUUAAAGUUUGUCAGUAAUCUCAAGCAAGAUAUUAUGGUACAACCUGGAAACUUCCAUUCCAACUUAUAAUUAGGCUAAUGCAUUUGUUUCUAAAAGUCCAUUUAGUGGCAGCCCUUUGUUGAAAAUGCCUGCUAACAGAGAGGGAGAAAAAAUUCCCUUACCAUGUCAUUGCCUACUGAAUGUAGGUUGGGAAGAAGGGGUAAAGGAAGGGAGUGUCUUACUGUAGGUUUGAGACAAGGAGGGAGGGUUAGAACAGCCACACAAUGCUAUGUCGAGGGUAAUUUCUCUUAACAUUUUGGGGCGGAAUUUGUACUCUUUUGCUGUUGUGAAUACUUCAUUGGCAAUUUCUCUUCUUAUACUUAUGUUCUUGAGACAAAAGAAAAGUUACUUGGAAGAGAGAUUAUAACCCGCACACAUUCUUUUUUCGAGGUCAGAGGAAGGUGAUACUUAGCCCCCCCGGGGGUGGGGGUUCCCUGGUUGUACUUUUGCUCUCAAAUAUGUUUUCGUUUCUAAAUUCAUAUGAGCAUAAUGGGGAUAACUGCUAAUUGGAUGGCCAUCGGGGUGGCUAACUACUUGAUUGUGUAUCAGUCUACCCGUUCUCUUGACUUCCCUCUUGCACCUCCUUUUGGCUUUUGACCUCCCCAUUAUCCUAUCCUCCAAUGGAGACGAGAUGACUGAUGAGAGGAAAGAAGCACAUCCACCUAUUGAAGUCUUUUAUGAUGAAUGAAAAGGCUACGAGAGCAAAGAAAACAGAAAUUGGGGGACGGAAGAAGUGGAAGACAGGAGAAGUAAUCAAUUUUCAUGCAGACAUUUAAAGCUGUUUAUUGUUUGCAUACGUCUUUGUUUCUUUCUCUACUUUAGCUCUUAAAUAUUAUGUCCUCCUUGUGGUUUUGAAGAAUCUAAUGAUUUUUGGACAGGAUUACGCUGUCAAGGUUAUCAGGGAAACCAAUGAAGCUUGGACUAAACUUGUCACAAGGUCUAUCUCGGCGGGUGAGCUCUCCCUUGCAUAGACGUAAUUAUUGAGCGUUUGCGCUAUUAUUGUGUCUCGUAUCCUUGGCAAAAACAGAAAUGACCUGAAAUCUCCCACUGGAUUCUUUUUCUGUAACAAAUGUUGAUGAUGAUAAUAAGCUUGUCAGUCAUGACAAAACCUGGUGUUUUAGCAAAUAUGAUUGAUUGCACGCAAGAGCUCUCAAAUCAUUUGCUGAAUCACAUGGCGAAGGCGCGCGCGCGCACACGUACACACACAUAUAUUUAAGGGCGGAUCCCGUUUCGUCUUUAGAAAUGAUUUGUCCAACACUUGACAGGUCAAGAAUUCAUCACUUGGACCUUGCUCAACGCUUCCUCCGCCUGCUCUUGAAAUCGUAAAUGUCACAAAUGACUUUGUGCCGUGCGUCCCAAUCAACAGAGCGGUACACUUAUGAAACAAAAGUUACCUCCACCACCUGCAUCAACCAGGAUGGCCGCGACGUUUGUCAACAUUUUCUACGACGUUUUUUCCGUGAAGGAGAGCCUUUAGGAAAGUCGACGGCUGCUACUUUUGAGCUCUGAAGAGGAUGACAUCGUCCGUCCCUAGGGGUGGAGCUGAACCAAGUAGCUCGGCUCAAACUCGCGAGCUACUUGAUCAGCAGCUCGAGCUCUAGUUCGGUUGACUAAACUCGAUCUCGAGUUCGAGCUGCUCGUUAGAGCUAUCGAGUCGAGCUCGAUCUUAGAAAUAUAAUACUCGAGAGUUCGACGAGUUCUAUCGAGCUUUUUAUAAUAUAUAAUUUAAUUUUUAUUAUUGUGAAAUAUUAAUAAUAUCCUUUAUUUAAAAUUAUAUAUAAAAUAUUAAUUUUUAUUACUUGAGCUUGAUUAGGCUUGAUUGAGCUCGAAUAAGCUUGAUUUGAAUUGGUUACAUUUAAUUAAACUCGAGCUCGAGGUCGAGCUCGAGUUCCAUAAAUUGAUGUCGAGCUCGAAGUUGAGCUCGAGUUUUAUAAAUUGAUGUCGAGCUCUGCCUCGAGUUGAGCUUGAGUAGUGCACUAUUCAAGCUUGACUCGACGCUACAGCAGCGUCUCGGAGAGCCCAGUCAUUGUUUAACCUGAGUAGAAGAAAACAUAAUACGUACAAUAAGUGAUCAUAACUCAAUAAGUAUCUUUUCUUAAUCUUUUGAAAGCAAAGUCAUAAAAUAAAAGUUGAAAACCUUGCUACUAAUCGAUUAUCCCCUGCCGAUUCGAUUAUCAAGUUUCCAGUUCUUGCGGUUAUUUUCGAUUCUCAAUCAAACCUGGUUUUAAUUGAUUUUUUUUCAAAGCGAUUUUUUGAAUGAAUUUGAGUUGAAAGUCUAGCUGAUUUUUGGUUCAACCGAUCGAACCAACUGAUCUGAUCCGAGUUUAAAAAUAUGGAUCAAAUUUUAAAAAAUCGCUGCUAUCUUUUCUUAAUCUUUUGAAAUAGUUUCAAAAAAUUUUCGUGAGGUUUUUUAUUUUUGAUUCAUUGACCUCUCCUAAAUUUCUAACAAUAUCACUUAUCGGUAAUGUAACCAAAAAAAAAAAAAAAAAAUUUGGGUGUAAUUUUUUGGCUUGUGGCAACUGUCUCUUAAAUGCAAUUUGGCUUGACUUAAAAAUGCAAUUUGGCUUGUGGCAACCUGACACGCUACCCACGAGCCACGGACCUGGUUAAAUAAACGCUGUUAUUGGUAGGAACAGAUGGAUGCUCUUAGUGCUUUAUUCCUCUGCUUUUAAUUGCAUUUUUAAGUCACUAUAAGCCUGUGAGAAGAACUAAGACCAAAUUUCUAGAGAUUUUAUAAAAAAAAAUACUAUAAUGAUAGAAUAUAUAUGAAAUAAAAAGAUAAUUGUGCGAUGUGUCAAUGAAAAAUUUUGUUUUUUUUUGGAAAACUCACAAUCCAAAUAAGAUCCUUUUUUUUUUAAUAGUAUCUUGUGAUAAUCAAUCGCAUUAUUUUUAGCUUAAAUGAUGAUUGCAGUUUGGUUGGUAUGGACCUACAAUUGUGGGACAAAUUGAAGAAAUUAUAAUUAACACCCACACUUGACCGCGAGAUAAUAGUAACAUAAAUUCGGAAUAGACUCACAACUUGAAAAUUGGACACAAACUCUUGGCACCCCUGAUUAUUUUGCUUAGUGCAAAUGAAAUCUAUAGGUACUUGAUAUGGCAUAACUGAGAGUUGAAUCUCGUAUCAAGGCUAAAUGAAUGCACAUUACUGUAACCUUCGAUUUUUAUGCAAAUUUUUAUUCACACAAAAAGAGUAAAAAAAAAAAAACUUAUUUUUGUGCUUGAUCAUCAACAUAUUUACUGGUUAGAUUUCGUAUUCGGUCACUUUUCAGAGUAGAGUUAGUAUUAUUUAUAUACAAAAUUUGAAAUUACAGCUAAUUUGAUAGCAUAUUUUUUGUCUUACCAAUUAAUCGGGGUGAGAAUUUUAAUCAACGAUGAGGGUAUAUUAUAUAUACCUAUAUAUCAAAAAACCAAAAAUGUGGUAUAAAGAGUUGUAUUGUAUGCCUUAGAGCCUUUUGUGCAACAGUCAACCAAUCAGGGCUUACCGUUUGGGUCUGUGGUCAACAAUUAACUAGAGCGGUAAACAGGAGUAAGCCCUGCUUCUUUGCUCGUCGAUUAUCAGCAAUCAACAAUCAGAAGCAGCAGCAGCAGCAGCAGCAAUGGCGGCCACUAGAGCGAUAGUGUCAGCAAGCAACACUAUCACCACUUCAUUAUUGAGAAAAGCCCCAUUGCAAGGCCCCAACAGCCUCAGCUUAUGUUUCAACUACAGCAACAAGAGUGGACUUGUUUUACAAAAGAGGAGACUUUUUACCUGCAGUGCUAUCUAUAAUCCCCAAGUUCAGAUUAAAGAAGAGGGCCAGCCUGAAACUCUUGACUACAGAGUCUUUUUCCAUGACGGUUCUGGCAAGAAGGUCUCUUUUUUUGUGGGUUUUAUUUUCUUUUGGUUUUUUGGCUGGUUUGUGCCGAAAUUCGUUCAAAGAUGCUUGCUUUAUGACCUGGGAUUGAAGGGUUUAGUUAGUUCUGAAAAUGAUGUUUAUUUGUUUCCUUUUUUGUGCUGGAAUCUGUUUAAAGAUGCGUGCUUUUAUGGCUUGUGAUCGAAGAAGGGUUGUUUGAUUUUGAGAAUGUUGUUUUUGUGUUUUUUCAGAUUUCUUGUUUGAUAUUCUCAAUCGCUUAAUAGAAUAACUAUAUGCUCUUUGUACUUCAUUAGACUGUUGGAGUUGUCUAGAUACUGUUGGUUUUGUAGCGAAUGCUGAAAAAUUCUUCUUGACAUUCUUAAGUUCGAGUUUCUGAACUCCCAUGUUUAAGCGUUUAGCGUGUUAAAGUUAGGAAAGGGGAAAGCUACCCAACUUCUGCUUUUGUUAUUAUACUUUUGAAUUAUUUGGGAGAUUUUAAAACUUAUAGUCAAGUUUGUAAUUUGACAGUAUAAGCACUUCAUUUGCCUGGUUUCUGGUUACCAUGUGAGCCUUUUGAUAUCUUGUUUGCUAAUAUUUUUGUAGUUUUAGUCGAAUAAAUUAAGGGUUUUAUACAAGCAAAUGUUUAGAAUAUUGAGGGGCCAUUCCUCCUUGGACCAGAUUUAGAAUUAUAGUCCGUUGAUUAUAUUGCUUCUUAAGCAGAGUAGUUGGCAAUGUGUAGUUAAUAAGUAAUGGUUUCUCUCGUAAAUUUUCAUGAAACAUUCUGUAUCAAUUUUAUGUGCAGAUUUCUCCUUGGCAUGAUAUUCCAUUGCAUUUGGGUGAUGGCUUGUUCAAUUUUAUUGUUGAAAUUCCCAAAGAAUCAAGCGCAAAGAUGGAGGUUGCAACCGAUGAACAUUUUACCCCUAUAAAACAAGAUACGAAAAAGGGAAAACUUCGAUAUUAUCCGUAAGACUAAAUUCAUAUUCUUUUUAUGCUUUUUAUUUACAUGUCUUAGGCUUGACUGAUCACUGCUGCUGCCCAAUUUGGAAUCACUAUGUUAACUUACUGGUGACAGACUGGUUAAUGGACACAUUUCAAUUGAUUUUGUACUCGGUGCAAAUUAUGUUAGUGCCUCACCUAUGAGUUUCUUUGCUGGUUCUCUCUGAUGGUUCAUGGACCUUAAAGUACCCUUAUUUCUCAUUCCCUUGAAUAAAUCAAGAGAUUCCAAAAGAUAGAUAUCUCUGACUAAGAAUUUCCUUUUAGAAUUCUUCACAUGGCAAGUUCAGAUUUUCAACCAGUCACACCUUAGACGUUGACUAAAUCACCAACCAUUGACAUUCAGCGUGGAAGUUUUGGCUCCUAUCAGAGUGAUUAUUAUUUCCUUCAGUGGCUGAUGUUUGGUUUUGGGAUUCUUUUUAUCUAGCAAAAGAACACUAUCAUCUGUUUGUAAUUCUAUGCACAUAUUUCAGUUAUAUGCAUAUUACCUAUUGCACUAGCUUUUAUCUCUUUAGGACAUCUGAUCUUUCUUCACAUUUUUUUUCCUUUCUUCCUUUAUUCAGGUGCCAUUUUUCUGUAAUUUCUCAGGUACAACAUUAACUGGAAUUAUGGGUUGCUUCCCCAGACAUGGGAAGAUCCUUCAUUUGCGAAUACUGAAGUUGAGGGGGCAUUUGGAGAUAAUGAUCCUAGUAUGCUUGCCACCUGCACCAACAUUCCAUGAUAGCUUGAUUUAACUGAAUUGCUCAUUCGGCUUCCUAUAGAAGCAUUGUAGAUUUAUUCCAAAGUAGCUGGCCUUUUAAAUCUUAUCUAAUCAGUGCUUUUAUCUGCAGUUGACGUUGUUGAGAUUGGCGAUAACCGUGCCAAAAUUGGCCAGGUUCUGAAAGUUAAGCCUUUAGCUGCUCUGGCAAUGAUUGAUGAGGGUGAACUUGACUGGAAAAUAGUUGCAAUUUCUUUAGAUGACCCAAGAGCUUCACUUGUUAAUGAUGUUGAUGAUGUUGAGAAGCAUUUUCCGGUAUGCGAAGUUUACGUUUAUGCUACAUUUUCUUUUCCUGCUGUUCUGAAGCAUGUUUAGUCUUUUUAUGAUGUGAACUGGGAAUUUAUGUAUUGUAGCAACAUAGCUGAAGAAGUGACAUAAUCAUCCAUAUGGUCGUUUCUAAAUGGUUUUUUAAAUUGAUGAUCUGACGAGUCCGCUACGUGCAUUGACUGUUUAAAUGCAAACCUGGAGGAAAAAUUUAUUGAAUGCAUGUAUAAUUAUUUGACUAGCCCCAAGGAAGAGUGGGAAAUUAAGGAAAGUGCUAGGUAGAUGCUCAAGCAAUUGUGAAAGUCAAGGGAAUAAGAAUCUGAAAAGGAGUGAUUAAGUGAAAACCACAGAAUCUUUCUCAAUAUAAAAUACUGGUCCCCCUUCUCACGAAUUUUGCUAUUUACUUCUCUUAUUUCGGUCAACAUCUGAAUCACUCCAUAUGGUAGAAACUGAUGAAUCCUAGGAAACAAUGAUUGAGGAAUUCUUGUACUACACUUUUCAAUUUGUUCUUUUUUGUUGAAUAUGGAUUUUUAGGUUCUUGAAUCGUUCAGUAGUCACUGUCAAACUUUGUUACCAGGAUUUCGUGAAUGUGCAUCUUUUUAUGUGGUAUGGAAUCUCAGGUGCAGAUAUCUGAAGGAUGAAAAAUUGAAUGCCAUUUGUCUUCCAUCCUCAUUUUCUGCUUAUAGUUUAUAUGGAAAAUUGAUAAUCGCUUAUGGUUCAUGGAGACCAGAACUGAUAUCAGAAGCCUUAGUUGUCUACUAGUGGACUCAGCCCUCUAUUCCGCGUGUUUUUGUUAUCUCCUCUAUUUUUAGGAAGAUCUGUAGUUUAAAUAAUUCAACGUUGACGUCCCUGUAUGUUUUUAUUGUAAAAACAGAUUUAAAAACAUUCGGUGAAAAGCGUUUCAAUUAAGAGUAAAGUUGGAAGCUGAUGUUAAAAGUCAUGUAUAUCUGUCACUUCACUAGCUCUUUAAUGGUUGUAACGCUUCCAAACCCUUCAAACUAUUGUUUGGAAGCGGAGCACUUGUUCUUCUGAAGUUCAACAAGUACAAGAUAGGACUAAAUUUCUUUGUGCCUGUAAAUUUCCAGGGCACUCUUACUGCAAUCAGGGACUGGUUUAGGGACUACAAGAUUCCUGAUGGAAAACCUGCUAACAAGUUUGGUCUAGGGAAUAAACCAGCAGAUAAGGUAUGGUGCAAUUUAAGCCUUAAAACCAUUUACUAAUAUGCAGCCGAUGUUUUUUUGUACUUCUUUUCCUUUUUUCUCAAGCCUUUUGUAUUCAAUGCUAUUUUUGUAUACCAACAUGCUAUUUACUUGUCAUAACAGGAAUAUGCGCUUAAGGUCAUAACAGAAACCAACGAGUCCUGGGCUAAACUGGUCAAGAGAUCUGUCUCUGCGGGUGAACUUUCACUAGUGUAAAUGGCACUUGGAAGUUUGAGCUGCCUGACAUUCAAGGGGAUAUGCUGUGCGUCUCCGGGAGCCCAAGUGAUAGAAUUUAUUUGAGAUGAGAGUGAAUUUUCUUAAUCUCCAGAUUCAGAUGAAUAAUUUCUGCAAUUAUCUUGGAGUUAAAAUGUACUUCUUGACCUUAGUGUUCUUGUAGUUAAGAAACUUAUUUGUGAAGUUCUUGGUCGUAGAUUUUCCCUUGCGCCAAGAGAUGAGAUGAAUGAUAGAUGCGGUGGAAUACACAAAUAAACUGAAAACGGAAGAUAAAUUAGGUUCUGGGUUUGAACUGUUCAUUUUUUUUGAGAUUGUUCAUUCACUGAAAGCCCUCUCAUCGUUCCCACCCUUCCGAUUAAAAGAAGGUGCAGACAAGCAAAAUUCAAGAUAUCAUUUGUUCCUGUGUUUGAAAAAGAUGUCAUUCGUUUCUAAGUAAAUAAAUAAAUAGCAAGACACAACUGUUCCUGCUGUUGAGCAUUUUUCACUCUUUUUAAGCGUUCGUCAUUCAUCCUCUGCAACAUUUGAGUACGAUUUGGAAAUCCACCCAUCGCUUUCGGUGAAGCAAAUCACACAGCAUAUAGCUAAAGCAGAGGAAGAACUUCAAAGAAAUAAAUUACGUGGGGAAACAGGAAACGAAGACUUUCCAUGGCAUGCACACUUGGAAACCGCAUUUGGGCGUCUGACCAUAUUCUAUCAAUUUUUGUCUUCAGGGCGCCAUUGUGAAUUUUGGUCAAUACAAAACUAAUGACAGAAAGAAAAUUACAGAGGUUCCACUUCAAGAUCUCAUGAUUUUAUACUAAAACAUCAUUGAUAAUUUUUAUGUAUACAGGAUCAAAAAUAAUAUUAAUUUGGACCCCGCGUUACAUUACACCACUUCUAUAUGAUUUUUUCGGCUUUCAAGAACUGCAAGCUAGGCCUAAUAUGCUACAGUUCCUGUGAGUUUUGCAGGGUUUUAUUUAGGUACAAUAAAAUGUUAGCCAUGCGCAAGUAGCUUAGCAACUACCAUUUGGGUGACUUUAACAGUUGCAAAGUUCAACAAGUUCUGGAACCCUCUUGUCAAAUGCCUCAUCUCCUUCAUGGGAUUUGUUCAGUGCUUGUGAUCUGCGUUGAAGAAUAGAAAACCAUUUCCCCUCUUGAAGCCAUUUUCGCACAGAUACCUGUACUCGAGAAAGAGGCAAAUUUUCUGGUUGUUCUGCAGCCGGUUGUGGAGGCAGGUCAGUUGUAGGUGCUUGUGUUCGGCGGAUCAGGAGGAGCAUUGCUGCUGUCGGUGACAUCUGAUAUCAGAAUUUACAAUAAUGCUGCAAAAACAAAAGUACAGAAUAGGAGUCAGUCUAGCAGUAGUACUUCUUUUUAUAGCAGCGAGUCAUACGGUUGGUGAGAUGCUUAAUUGAUGCAGUCUUGAAUUGAAAUUCUUUAGAUUGUAAACAGAAGUAAAACUGUGUGCUAGGUUGCUAAUUUGACUGGUUUUGGCCUAAAAUUUCUAUCUUAUCAGUCCAUCUUCUCUUCUACAGUUUACAAUACCCCCAGCCUUGCUGCAUUUACUUGCACUUCCAAAUUUUUGAGAAUUCUUUUAAACCUUUCUUUUGCUUGCUUUUUCUACUGUGUCUGCAUUUAUGCUAAGCCACAAUAUGAUUGCACGCUUGGAUGGAAUGGAACGGAACUAGACCACGAUGUGGGAUCCAUCCAUACGUCUUUUUCCAAUUACCUGUGGAUGGAUUCAUUUCCAUGGGCUUGGGACUUGAUAAGUUGGUUGUACUAAAUGAUUUCAGGUAAG